rnacentral:rRNA from 1 species
GAGAGGAGGACGGGACCUUGCUCUUGUAUUCAACGGCGGACGGGUGAGUAAUGCCUAGGAAUCUGCCUGGUAGUGGGGGACAACGUUUCGAAAGGAACGCUAAUACCGCAUACGUCCUACGGGAGAAAGCAGGGGACCUUCGGGCCUUGCGCUAUCAGAUGAGCCUAGGUCGGAUUAGCUAGUAGGUGAGGUAAUGGCUCACCUAGGCGACGAUCCGUAACUGGUCUGAGAGGAUGAUCAGUCACACUGGAACUGAGACACGGUCCAGACUCCUACGGGAGGCAGCAGUGGGGAAUAUUGGACAAUGGGCGAAAGCCUGAUCCAGCCAUGCCGCGUGUGUGAAGAAGGUCUUCGGAUUGUAAAGCACUUUAAGUUGGGAGGAAGGGCAGUAAGCUAAUACCUUGCUGUUUUGACGUUACCGACAGAAUAAGCACCGGCUAACUCUGUGCCAGCAGCCGCGGUAAUACAGAGGGUGCAAGCGUUAAUCGGAAUUACUGGGCGUAAAGCGCGCGUAGGUGGUUCGUUAAGUUGGAUGUGAAAGCCCCGGGCUCAACCUGGGAACUGCAUCCAAAACUGGCGAGCUAGAGUAUGGUAGAGGGUGGUGGAAUUUCCUGUGUAGCGGUGAAAUGCGUAUAUAUAGAAAGGAACACCGUGGCGAAAGCGACCACCUGGACUGAUACUUGACACUGAGUGCAAAACGUGGAACAACAGGAUUAGUACCCUGGUAUCCACCCCGUAAACGAUGUCAACUAGCCCGUUGAAUCCUUGGAUUUAGUGGCGCAUCUAACCCAUAAGUUUACCGCCUGUGGAAUUCCGCCGCGACGCUUAAAACUCAAAAGAAUUGGCAGAGGCCCCGCAAGCCGUGAGACACUGUCGUUUACUUCUAACCAACCCCCACCACCGUACCAGGCGUUG